ensembl:lncRNA
GCCUGCAGUUCGAUUUAAUUGCUACGGUGAUGAAUGUUAAUGCGGUGUUCAUGGGAGGUGGUGGUGCCUGGGGAUGGCUCUCAUCCAACGCCCAAAGACCUGCAGCCCCGACGCUGAGCAGCACUGCAGACGGGAGGCAGCCAGGCGCCGUGGCUAUAGGGGGACCCCCUCCAGUCAACGCUGACGGGAUCAGCACCAAGGCCAGCUCCCCGACCGGGACCGGGGACCUGGGGACCUGGGGACCCGUGCUCUAUGUCUUACGUCUCUCCGGAUGAGUGCUUUCUGCCAAGAUGGAUACGCCAAUUUUAAG